GGGCCCGCACAAGCGGUGGAGCAUGUGGUUUAAUUCGAUGCAACGCGAAGAACCUUACCUACUCUUGACAUCCUGCGAAUUCGGUAGAGAUACCUUAGUGCCUUCGGGAACGCAGAGACAGGUGCUGCAUGGCUGUCGUCAGCUCGUGUUGUGAAAUGUUGGUUAAGUCCCGUAACGAGCGCAACCCUUGUCCUUAUUUGCCAGCGCGUAAUGGCGGGAACUCUAAGGAGACUGCCGGUGACAAACCGGAGGAAGGUGGGGACGACGUCAAGUCAUCAUGGCCCUUACGAGUAGGGCUACACACGUGCUACAAUGGUCGGUACAAAGGGUUGCCAACUCGCGAGAGUGAGCCCAAA
rnacentral:rRNA from 1 species